AGAGUUUGAUCAUGGCUCAGGAUGAACGCUAGCGGCAGGCCUAAUACAUGCAAGACGAACGGUAAGAAUUGUAGCAAUAUGAUUCCAAGAGUGUCGUACGGGCGCGUAACACGUAUGCAACCUACCUUGUACAGGAGUAUAGCUCGGGGAAACUCGAAUUAACCCUCCAUAAUAUGUCGAUGUGGCAUCACAUUGAUAUUAAAACUACGGUGGUACAAGAUGGGCAUGCGUUUGAUUAGCUAGUUGGCGGUGUAAUGGACCACCAAGGCGAUGAUCAAUAGGGGAACUGAGAGGUUGAUCCCCCACACUGGCACUGAGAUACGGGCCAGACUCCUACGGGAGGCAGCAGUAGGGAAUAUUGGUCAAUGGAUGGAAGUCUGAACCAGCCAUGCCGCGUGCAGGAAGAAGGCCUUCUGGGUUGUAAACUGCUUUUGCCAGGGGAUAAAAAUUCCAUGCGUGGAAAAUUGAAGGUACCUGGUGAAUAAGCACCGGCUAACUACGUGCCAGCAGCCGCGGUAAUACGUAGGGUGCAAGCGUUGUCCGGAUUUAUUGGGUUUAAAGGGUGCGUAGGCGGCCCUGUAAGUCAGUGGUGAAAUACUCCAGCUUAACUGGAGGGGUGCCAUUGAUACUGCAGGGCUUGAGUUAAGUUGAAGUUGGCGGAAUUGACGGUGUAGCGGUGAAAUGCUUAGAUAUCGUCAAGAACACCGAUAGUGAAGACAGCUAACUAAACUUUUACUGACGCUGAGGCACGAAAGUGUGGGGAUCAAACAGGAUUAGAUACCCUAGUAGUCC
rnacentral:rRNA from 1 species